CUACGGGAGGCACCAGUGGGGAAUAUUGCACAAUGGGCGCAAGCCUGAUGCAGCCAUGCCGCGUGUAUGAAGAAGGCCUUCGGGUUGUAAAGUACUUUCAGCGGGGAGGAAGGGAGUAAAGUUAAUACCUUUGCUCAUUGACGUUACCCGCAGAAGAAGCACCGGCUAACUCCGUGCCAGCAGCCGGCGGUAAUACGGAGGGUGCAAGCGUUAAUCGGAAUUACUGGGCGUAAAGCGCACGCAGGCGGUUUGUUAAGUCAGAUGUGAAAUCCCCGGGCUCAACCUGGGAACUGCAUCUGAUACUGGCAAGCUUGAGUCUCGUAGAGGGGGGUAGAAUUCCAGGUGUAGCGGUGAAAUGCGUAGAGAUCUGGAGGAAUACCGGUGGCGAAGGCGGCCCCCUGGACGAAGACUGACGCUCAGGUGCGAAAGCGUGGGGAGCAAACAGGAUUAGAUACCCUAGUAGUC
rnacentral:rRNA from 1 species